rnacentral:sRNA from 1 species
GCAACGGCUAGGUUUAGCGGCCGAAAAUCGGUUUUCAUCCACCGACCGCCGUUGCGUUCUCUUUCCUUGG